CGGAAAACUCACCAAGGGCGACUGUUACAUGAAAGCCAGGCUAAUGACCUUGCUAGAUUUUCAGAGAGGUGGUGCAUGGCCGUCGUCAGUUCGUACCGUAAGGCGUUCUCUUAAGUGAGAUAACGAACGAGACCCUCACUGAUAAUUGCUACUUCAUUCUCCGGAGUGGAGGCACAUUAUUGGGACCGCUGGCGCUAAGUCAGAGGAAGGAGAGGUCAACGGUAGGUCAGUAUGCCCCGAAUCUCUUGGGCUACACGCGCGCUACAAAGGGCGGGACAAUGGGCUCCGACGCCGAGAGGCGAAGGUAAUCUCGAAACCCGUCCAUAGUUCGGAUUGAGGGUUGUAACUCACCCUCAUGAAGCUGGAUUCCGUAGUAAUCGCGAAUCAACAACUCGCGGUGAAUAUGCCCCUGCUCCUUGCACACACCGCCCGUCAAACCAUCCGAGUUGGGUUUCAGUGAGGUUGCCUCUAAUUAGGGUAUUCGAACUGAGAUUUAGCAAGGAAGGUUAAGUCGUAACAAGGUAUCU
rnacentral:rRNA from 1 species